rnacentral:rRNA from 1 species
AGAGUUUGAUCAUGGCUCAGAUUGAACGCUGGCGGCAGGCCUAACACAUGCAAGUCGAACGGCAGCACAGAAGAGCUUGCUCUUUGGGUGGCGAGUGGCGGACGGGUGAGUAACACGUAGGAAUCUACCCAGUAGUGGGGGAUAACCUGGGGAAACCCAGGCUAAUACCGCAUACGCCCUGAGGGGGAAAGCGGGGGAUCUUCGGACCUCGCGCUAUUGGAUGAGCCUGCGUCGGAUUAGCUAGUUGGUGGGGUAAGGGCCCACCAAGGCGACGAUCCGUAGCUGGUCUGAGAGGAUGACCAGUCACACCGGAACUGAGACACGGUCCGGACUCCUACGGGAGGCAGCAGUGGGGAAUAUUGGACAAUGGGCGCAAGCCUGAUCCAGCCAUGCCGCGUGGGUGAAGAAGGCCUUCGGGUUGUAAAGCCCUUUAGGUGGGGAGGAAGGCAUUCAUGCUAAUACCAUGGAUGAUUGACGUUACCCACAGAAUAAGCACCGGCUAACUCCGUGCCAGCAGCCGCGGUAAUACGGAGGGUGCAAGCGUUAAUCGGAAUUACUGGGCGUAAAGCGCACGUAGGCGGUUUGACAAGUGGGAUGUGAAAGCCCUGGGCUCAACCUGGGAACUGCAUCCCAAACUGUCAGGCUAGAGUAUGGUAGAGGGGGGCGGAAUUCCCGGUGUAGCGGUGAAAUGCGUAGAGAUCGGGAGGAACAUCAGUGGCGAAGGCGGCCCCCUGGACUGAUACUGACGCUGAGGUGCGAAAGCGUGGGGAUCAAACAGGAUUAGAUACCCUGGUAGUCCACGCUGUAAACGAUGAGAACUGGCCGUCGGGCCCUUCGGGGUUUGGUGGCGUAGCUAACGCGCUAAGUUCUCCGCCUGGGGAGUACGGCCGCAAGGCUAAAACUCAAAUGAAUUGACGGGGGCCCGCACAAGCGGUGGAGCAUGUGGUUUA